ensembl:snoRNA
ACAUCCCCUUUCUUUUGGCCAACUGAAUUUAAUGUCUUAAUUGGCCAUUCAAGUGGAGCAAAGGAAAUAACCUUUCAAAACUAGGCAAACUUAAGUAUUUGCCUUGUAACCUGUCAGGCGGAACACUG